GGACAGAAGAAGUUCGUUUAUCGAGCUUGUCGGAGUUCUUGCUUCGUUGCGACAGUAUCGGCGACGAGAGCUAGGAAGUUGGUCAGCGGCGGUUGCGCGGCAUUUUUGGCGACCGUCGUGGAGGUGGACCGGGUGGUGCCGAAACUAGAAGAUUUAUCGGUAGUGCGGGAAUUUCCGGAUGUGUUUCCCGCGGAGCUGGCAGGGAUGCCGCCGGAU
rnacentral:lncRNA from 1 species